rnacentral:rRNA from 1 species
GAUCCUGGCUCAGGAUGAACGCUGGCGGCGUGCUUAACACAUGCAAGUCGAACGAAGCAUUUAGAACAGAUUACUUCGGUUUGAAGUUCUUUAUGACUGAGUGGCGGACGGGUGAGUAACGCGUGGGUAACCUGCCUUGGUACUGGGGGAUAGCAGCUGGAAACGGCUGGUAAUACCGCAUAAGCGCACAAUGUUGCAUGACAUAGUGUGAAAAACUCCGGUGGUAUAAGAUGGACCCGCGUCUGAUUAGCUUGUUGGUGAGGUAACGGCCCACCAAGGCGACGAUCAGUAGCCGGCCUGAGAGGGUGAACGGCCACAUUGGGACUGAGACACGGCCCAAACUCCUACGGGAGGCAGCAGUGGGGAAUAUUGCACAAUGGGGGAAACCCUGAUGCAGCGACGCCGCGUGAGUGAAGAAGUAUUUCGGUAUGUAAAGCUCUAUCAGCAGGGAAGAAAGUGACGGUACCUGAAUAAGAAGCCCCGGCUAACUACGUG